GGCUUCGUAGCUCAGCUGGUAGAGCGCUUGCCACGGCAUGGUGUUUCUGUCGCUGGUUCGAAUACAGCCGAAGCCC